CUUCCUGGCCGCAGCAAGCCAAUGAGCGCUGCCGCUUGCCUGUUGCUGUUUGUUGACAGACGACAGCGAGCGCGCGGACGCGCGAGCCGAGCGCAACAGAAUAAAAGCCGUUGGACGACGCCACCGCGUAAUGAAUGUCAGUUUUCGGCCGCAAAUUCGCCACGAAGUCGACCAAUAAUAUUCCUAAGUCAGUGAUUGCUGUGAAAUCCGAAUCAUGUUCAACCAUCCCUGCAAAGAUGCUACAAAUCAAAGAUCUGUGCCCGCGGCUUGCUUGUGUGAUAUCAAUGCAACUCGUUCAAGCUGCGUUCUGAAGCUUUGCGACCCGCGGCACUAUGUAAAUUAUUGAAAGGAUGUCUGGUUUGCAGCUGGGGUUCAAGAUCAAAACAAGCUAGCAGGCUUGUGGAUAUGCUCUGGCUGGGACAGAUCAGGCCGAGGAUGUCAAGACAAUCAUAGAUGGGAAAAGCUGCCAGCAAGAUGGAUUCCAGCCUGCACUCAACUUAUGCCGCAUUUUCCAGUCUGGAGUCUGCUGGUGCUAAUUAUUACUUGGAUGGAAUAGAAGCGACUCCGGAGCUCAAGACGAAAAGCUACAUAAUUGUGUGACAGGAUUUGGAAUUGCUGGACCACACCUUUGAGGAAGAUUGAGUGAUUCAUGUGUAUUUUUGUUUUUAAGUGAGGCUAUUUUUGAGCGAAAUUGUUGUAUUUUAUAUAGAGCAUUCAUUUUAAGGCUAAUAUCUUUGGCAUACACAUACUUGUAUUCACUGUAAUAAUGUUGGUAUUAAACUUCAAUUAAAUUCCAAACAUUAAUUUAGUGAAUACAGGUAUGUGUACAAUAAAUUUAUGUUUGAGCUGACAUUCAAUCAUUGAAUUUUCUUGCCAGAAACGUUUUGGCAGCUGAAAAUUUUAUAAUAAAUAUUUUUGAUAGCCAUUAUAGGUUUUAAAUUGGCUAUUUGUGUAAGCCUUUCGAAGUCGGCGUAGCCGUAUACUUCCAAUUUAAAUUCCCAUCGACUGAGGUCAAGGAUUUAAUCCUGCUGAUGUAUUUUCUGGGUUUUAAAUGAUUUAUUUUGAUUCUUAGAACCAAAAUCAGUUCAGCCAAUCUCUGUAGAAACAUGGAAAUAAUAUUUUUAUCAAAUCUGACGUUUCGAAGGUGAUUGGCUAGACUGACUUUUGCUUUUAGUACAUCAAAUAAAAUCAAUUAAAGGAUUUUGAAUGCAGAGCGGUAAGAUCGUGUCUUUAUUUUCUCAGUGGAAGUGCUUAAAAUCAAAAGUAACAGCUGGCACCAUUUUUCGGGAGCAUUAUUACACUAAGGGGUUUCCGAAGCUUGUGAAUGUUAUAAUUUUUUAGCUUUCUUAAUUAAUUGUCUUCUCUUGUUUCUCAUAACCUUUAAGGACACUACUGUAAAUUGAUAAAAUUCUCUGUAUUGAUCUAUUGUUACUGUGCAUGUGUCAUCUUUUUGUAAUCGAAAUUGUAUAAGUAAUAAACAUAAAUUUUAAAA